rnacentral:rRNA from 1 species
GACGAACGCUGGCGGCGUGCCUAAUACAUGCAAGUCGAGCGAACAGACGAGGAGCUUGCUCCUCUGACGUUAGCGGCGGACGGGUGAGUAACACGUGGAUAACCUACUUAUAAGACUGGGAUAACUUCGGGAAUCCGGCGCUAAUCCCGGAUAAUAUAUUGAACCGCAUGGUUCAAUAGUGAAAGUCGGUUUUGCUGUCACUUAUCGAUGGAUCUGCGCCGCAUUAGCUAGUUGGUAAGGUAACGGCUUACCAGGGCAACGAUGCGUAGCCGACGUGCGGGGGUGAUCGGCCACACUGGAACUGGAACACGGUCCAGACGCCUACGGUAGGCAGCAGAAGGGUAUCUGCCGCAAUGGGCGAAAGCCUGACGGAGCAGGGCCGCGUGAGUGGUGAAGGUCUUCGGAGCGGAAAACUCGGUUAUUGGGGGUGAACAAAUGUCUAAGUAGCUAUGCACGUCGUGACGGUACCUAGUCAGAAAGCCACGGCUAACUACGUG